rnacentral:sRNA from 2 species
GAAGGAGGUGGGCUGGGAGCUGGUUGUGAGAGGGGGGAUUUCAGUGUGAGUACCGGUGCGGGUGGAACGAGUGAGGAUAUGCAAGAAACCCUGCAUGAUUGUGCUGAUGUUAUUGAGAAUGAUGUUGAGCGCGGUGAAAAGGUGGUUGGUAAGUUUACUGAGAUUGGGUAAUAUUUGUAAUUCGUGUAUCCGGUCUUCAGCAAUUUGGAUAUCACCAUAGAGAUUAUAGCCUAUGUACAAAAAAAAAAAAAAAAGCAGACCACGAAAACGGCUAUGGGGAGAUUAUGAACCAAAGAAAUGCAAAGGAAUAGAACAGGUAAAUGAUGAACAACGAACCCAUCUCCUUAUAUACACCGAACUCAAUAUGGCCGUACCGGGGGGGAAAAAUAUAUAUAGACCUAUAAACAAAAUACCUAUGUACAGUACAUCAUGCCCUUUGCUAU